rnacentral:rRNA from 1 species
CCUACGGGAGGCAGCAGUAAGGAAUAUUGGUCAAUGGACGAAAGUCUGAACCAGCCAUGCCGCGUGAAGGAUGAAGGCCCUCUGGGUUGUAAACUUCUUUUAUCUGGGACGAAAAAAGGGGAUUCUUCCUCACUUGACGGUACCAGAGGAAUAAGCACCGGCUAACUCCGUGCCAGCAGCCGCGGUAAUACGGAGGGUGCAAGCGUUAUCCGGAUUUACUGGGUUUAAAGGGUGCGUAGGUGGGUAAGUAAGUCAGUGGUGAAAUCUUCGAGCUUAACCCGGAAACUGCCAUUGAUACUAUUUAUCUUGAAUACUUUGGAGGUAAGCGGAAUAUGUCAUGUAGCGGUGAAAUGCUUAGAUAUGACAUAGAACACCAAUUGCGAAGGCAGCUUACUACACAGUCAUUGACACUGAGGCACGAAAGCGUGGGGAUCAAACAGGAUUAGAUACCCUGGUAGUCCACGCCCUAAACGAUGGAUACUCGACAUCAGCGAUACACUGUUGGUGUCUGAGCGAAAGCAUUAAGUAUCCCACCUGGAAGUACGAUCGCAAGAUUGAAACUCAAAUGAGUAGAGCGNGAGAGNGACGACGACGACGACGAGGGAGGAGG